GUGUCUAUGUGUAAGUGUUAGGUACACAUAUGCACAUAUAAAUAAAGCUAAACAAUCAAUAUUUGUUUGCUUUUACUUCUGUCUACUGUCUAUCAAUUUUAUUCAAAGUAGUUUUAUAAAUUAACAAAGCGCCUGCUAAUAUAUUUUAUUUGAAAUAAUGUUAGCAAAUACUAGUAACUUUUUUCCACUGAAAUAAAAAAAAAUCUUAAAGAUAUAUAUAGCUUUUAUAAUUUAGUGUUUUGACACAAUGACUAUGAAUUAGGAUAUUAGACCAGUGUUUACUUUCUUGAAUAGGGAGAGCCAUUGUGUUGUACUUUUGGGCAAGGGACAUAACUCUGCCUACCUCUCUGCUAGACUAAUAUCAAAGUGAUUAGUGAUAAAAUGGGCAUCCAGCUAUCAAAACAGUUGCUCCAGCAAAGCCAUCCUACCUAUAUUAACACGUAAAAUAAUACCAAUGUCAAUAUUAAUGAGAUUAAAUUAGAAAUUAGAAACCUUAUUAGGAAUUUCAAUGAUAAUUGUUUUUUCUAAUUAAUAACAACAGUAAAAUAUAUUUUGAUUAUUACAUUUAUCAAUAUCAUCUUUAUAUAAAUUUAUCAUUUGUAACCUAAUAUUCAAUAACAUAAAUUAUAUAAUCGUUUUUGUUUUUCAUUAUUAUAUUAACUGAUCCAGGAAAAUCAAUAUAUAGUGUAAACUGUUGGUGUGUGGAAGGGUGGAAAAUUUGAAGUUAGUGAAAUUUAGACUUCAUAUAUGAAAUUUACUCUAAUUUGAUGGCUUGCAGUAACAGUUCACUUCAUAAAACUUUCCUAAUGCACCUUGUAGCAUAAUUUCAAUUCUUGCUGAUUAAUUUUGCUGGAAAUCUUAAUAAACAAAUCUUUCAGUGACUUGCUGUGAUAGUGUGUGUGACUUAAAUUACUUUUAUGUUUUAUAGUAAUUUUUUUUUUUGCAUUCUGUAUGUUUUCACUUUGAAUUCUUUUGCAUAAUGUAUUUGUGUGUUUUGGUUUGCAUCUCCUCCCCCCACUUCUGCCUUUUCUCUCUCAUUUUAUUGUUUUUAUUUUUACUACAGUCUUUGACAAUCUUCCAAUGUCUGGAACUUCAUUGAGAUGAUUUUAUUUUUUAAUUCACCCACCUCUUUUGCUCAAAGGUUUUGUUGUUCUAGUUUUUGAAGCACUUGGGACAUUUCCCCCCAGAGAAGGAAUGCAGGUUUUUUUUUCUCUCCCAAGGAAAGAGAUGAGGUCUGUACCACAGUAAUGAUAAUAAUAUUUUAGAGGGAAUUGAACUUUGAAUAUUGUUGUUGACUGAAAUGUGUAGCAUAAAAGCUGACAGAACUGAUACUAUCUCUCAGUAGGUUGAUCAAUGCCAUUGUCACUCAUCUAUCAUAUACAUUCAUUAUUAUAAAAUUUGAGUCACAAAUUGUUUUUCUACUUUUCAUUUUUUUUUUUUAUGAUUCAUUCAAGGACAAUUUUUAAUAUUAAAAAUUUCAUUAACAUCCUAUUGCAACAUAUAAUUAGGCUGCAAUACAUGUUUUGCUGUUUUUAGUUACUAAUAUGUACAAUUAGUUGAUAGCUAUAUGUAAUUUAGUGGAUUGUUAUCCAUCUCAACCUGAGCUUGGUUAAUUCACUUGAUUUGUUUUUAUAGAACAAGAUUAAAUUACUUGAUUUUAUUCUAAGCGUACAUACAUAAAUGUGUGUAUUUAAAAAACAGUUCAUUAGAAUAUUAUAGCAAUCAGUUAUUAAAUUUGAACACAAAGAUUGUGUAGUUACAUUUAUUGAUCAAAUGAAAACAUGUUUGAAAUUUAUUAAUCUUAUAUAAACUUAGCUAUGUCAGUAAACUCUAAGUGAAUAAAACAGAAUAUCGGUUUUAGGUUUUUAGUUUUUUCCGGUGUAAUACUGCUCUUAGGAUAAAUAAAAACUUGACAGCAGGAAGAAGGUAAGGUUUGCAAGUUGUACAACAUUAAUUUUGAGAAAUAUCACAUAGGUCAGUCAAGCAUAGAAGGCAGCUGAGAGUUAGGCAUUAGAUACUGUUUGUGAAAGGGAAACUCAAAGGGAAUGAUUUUUGUUGAGAAUAGAUUUCAAAACAUUAAUAAAAAUUACUAUAGUUAGUAAUUGAUGUAAAGUGAAAUAUAUAUAAUAUACAUACAUACAUGGGGAGAGACAGACAGACAGAGAAAAGCCAAAGAAAUGCUGAUAUAAAAAUUGUGAACAUUGACUAACUGAACAGAAUUGGAGUUAAUAGAAUAAAUGAUUGGAUCCUAGAAGAGAGGCCAUUUUGCAGGCAUAUUCUUGUCUCUACAUCUCAAAAGCAGAAAAAUAAUGAGAAAACGAAUGAGCAAAAUUAUAAAACAUACUUCACAGUGGUCAUCUAUAUCCUCUGUAAAUAAGAAAAGGUUUUGUGGUUUGUAUAAACAUUUUAUAAAUUUUGUUAUUCAUUUGGAGCUUGGCACUGCUCUGUAGCUUGCCAGAUCCUGUCAAACUGUCCAACCCAUGCCAGCAUGGAAAAUGGACAUUAAGUGAUGUAGUUCAAACUGUGGGAUUUAGUUUUAUCAAAAAAAGUAGCAUUCAAAACAUUUAGUUGGAGUUAUAUGCCUUCAAUAAGUUUGACUCAGCGUCACAUAACUAAGUUCUGUGGGUAUCGACAUCAGGUGUUCAGAGACAGUCAAAAGAAUUUGAAAGAAAUUCAGUAAUGAUUUUUAAGUGA